CACACGACUCUCGGCAACGGAUAUCUCGGCUCUCGCAUCGAUGAAGAACGUAGCAAAAUGCGAUACCUGGUGUGAAUUGCAGAAUCCCGCGAACCAUCGAGUUUUUGAACGCAAGUUGCGCCCGAGGCCUUCUGGUCGAGGGCACGUCUGCCUGGGCGUCACGCCA
rnacentral:rRNA from 1 species